rnacentral:rRNA from 1 species
GACGAACGCUGGCGGCGUGCUUAACACAUGCAAGUCGAACGGUGAACGAGGGAGCUUGCUCCCUCCGGAUCAGUGGCGAACGGGUGAGUAACACGUUAGCAAUCUGCCCCGAACUCUGGGAUAAGCGUUGGAAACGACGUCUAAUACCGGAUACGACGCGGGAGGGCAUCCUCUCCGCGUGGAAAGAACUUCGGUUCGGGAUGAGCUCGCGGCCUAUCAGCUUGUUGGUGAGGUAACGGCUCACCAAGGCGACGACGGGUAGCCGGCCUGAGAGGGUGACCGGCCACACUGGGACUGAGACACGGCCCAGACUCCUACGGGAGGCAGCAGUGGGGAAUAUUGCACAAUGGGCGCAAGCCUGAUGCAGCAACGCCGCGUGAGGGACGACGGCCUUCGGGUUGUAAACCUCUUUUAGCAGGGAAGAAGCGAAAGUGACGGUACCUGCAGAAAAAGCACCGGCUAACUACGUG